CUGGGUUUUAACCCCAAAAAUAUUUUUCUCCCAAAAUUUCUGCCUCCCACCUCUCUUCGCGGCGAAACCCUCCAUUGUCGUUCUACUCGUUGCCAUGGAAAGGGGGUGUGAACGGCCACGAUCUGGCUGCACGAGUGACGAUCUGGCUGCGUCAGUGACGAUCUGGCAGUACGGAGCAAGGGUCCAAAGACCAUUUACGACAAUGAGCGGGAGUGACGAUUCACGGCUACGAGCGACAAACCGACGGUAGGGUUAUUGGAAAUAAAGCUACGAUUCUUCCAUUCUUGAACACCAAAGCCUCCUCCUCCCCAGCUUGGCCUGGACGAGCUGUCCUGAAGCCAGGACGUAAGAAAUGGGAAGKCCAGAAGCCUAUCUCCAUUGCAUUGGUUCCAUUGGAACUCAGAUAUGUGGUUGCCAACUACUUGUGUAAGACAAAACUAUUUUCCAACCUAUGUGUUAUUGUUGCUCGUGCCUGCAUAAUUGAGUGUGCACUCUCUUAUUAAGUUAUUUUGUCUUAAAUCUCAGCUUCUCAUUGGGGGUGAUUUCUGUACAAAUAAUAUUCUGUACAAUUGUGGAUUGUUCUUUGGUUGGAAUUUUGUAGUUUAAAAUUAUUCUGACGUUGAGGUUUUAUUUAACAUUGUGUUUGAGAUUUUAUSAGAGUUGUUUUUCUAACCCAACUCUUAGUCAAAAUCUCUUAUCUUACUAAAACUUCAUUUAUUUGAUUCAGUAAAUAAUCCAUCCUAUAGCUGAAUCAAUGCAAGAUACUUUCUACUUUUUUGGGGCCCAGUGUUGGACAUCAGGGAGUAGUAUAUUGGAAACCUCCAAAGCAGGCACUGAGUGAAGUAACAGAACUUGUUUGGGAGCCUUCAAAUCGAUGGUUGUGAGGCUGAUGAAGGUAUUUUGAGCUGAGAGAGGCAAUGACGGGAAAGGUAUAUACAUUUUUAUUAAAUUUAAUAAAUUUGAGUACCUUGUUGGUUCUAACUUUCCAGUUUUCUAUGAUUCAGAGACUUCUCUCUUACCUUUUUGGUAAGUUUAAAUUUCACUUUAUACUUUAGUUCAAGGAGCGAAUGUUUAAAUGUAUACCAUUGUAUUUACAGGUUGAAGAAUGUAGUUUAUAGUAUUUUGGAUAUAAUUCUAAAUUCUCAUUGUCUCAGAUUCAUAACUUCGGGAGCUCACCAUUUUUUCUAUGUCAUGUUGUAGGUAGCGCAAUAUUUCCAUGGAUUGUAACACUACAAGCCUUAGAGUCUUUCAUAUGUGAUGCUCCAAAGCAAGUACAAUUUAUAUGUUUCCUUAGUUGUAUAGUUUUCAUUACUUUGGCUAAUUAGUUUUUAAUAUGUGAUACUCCAAAGUAAGUUGAUAUUUUUAUUUUGUUCAUGUUA